rnacentral:rRNA from 1 species
UACGUAGGGUCCGAGCGUUGUCCGGAGUUACUGGGCGUAAAGCGCGCGCAGGCGGCGGUGCUGGCCCGGCGUGAAAGCCCCCGGCUCAACCGGGGAGGGUCGUCGGGGACCGCACCGCUUGAGGGCGGUAGGGGCUGGUGGAAUGCCUGGUGUAGUGGUGAAAUGCGUAGAGAUCAGGCGGAACACCCGUGGCGAAGGCGGCCAGCUGGGCCGUCCCUGACGCUGAGGCGCGAAGGCGUGGGGGAGCGAACGGGGAGUUAGAUACCCCAGU